CACAAAUGAACUUUUUUCAAUGAACAAUUAAUAAUAUAGCAAUUGGUAGUAUAACCAUCUUAACUGUUUUGUGUGUAUAUACAUUUAUUUAUUUUUGCUUUUCCCUUCUUUCUCUGAAAUGCUAUUUCUGUGGUGAGCACCAGGGAGAAGAAAAUAUUGCCCUUCUAGUUUGAAAAGGAAGCUGUUUCUUACCCAGGCAGUCCUUGCUAUUGGCCUUCAUGUCUGUGGACCCAUUUCUCUGGGUGUGCGACCCCAAGAGCUGAACUCUGGAUCGAACUCAUGACUGCCUACUUGCAAGGCAGGUGCUUAUGCCGCUGAGAUAAAUCGCCAGCCCCUUAAUAAUCACUGAAUCUGAAGCUCUAUCUGCCUUGGUGAGGUUGAAGCCAGAUAAAAUCUGGUGUAGAAAAGUAAAAUGGAUACCCAUGAGCCGGGGUUCUGAAUUUCUAAAUCUGGCUCUGCCACUUGCUAGUUGUGAGAGACUGGUGAGAAAAUGAGGAUGAAACAGAUGUCAACUGAUGAUCCCAAAA